AAAAACUUGCUCAGCAUGUUCAGUUCAACAUGGCUGCUGGAUUGCGAUCGAGACUUGAUAUGAAACAUGGUUUUAUGAAAAAGAUCAUUCAGAACCAAGUUGAUAGAGACACAUAUGACAAGGAGGUUAAAGCUAAACUUACAGAGAAACCCAAGCAAAGACAGAACAAGCAGAAAAAGCCAGAUAUCCAUGUGUAUGUCCCUCCAACAAAGUUAAAAGGUAAUCGGUGUUUGCUUUGGAUUAUUUUUACAAAUGGAAUUCAUAUUUUAUGAAUAAUUGAAUAAUUUUGUGAAAAAGCAAACUUAAGCUUAUCUCAGCUGAAAGCUUAAAUAAACUUCUAACUGUAGAUCAAACUUUUUACAGUACCUGCUCGUGUUAAAACUUGACAUUUUUUAUCAAUUUCAACCAAACUUGGCACAAAACAUUCUUGAAUGAAGGGCCAUGAUGUUUGUAAAAAUGAAGGGUCAGAUUCCCUUUGAAAUGGAGAAUAGAAAUAGAAAUUAAAAAUGUAGUGUAUGGUGUUAAUGUUACCAAGAUAUUACCCGGUAUAAAGAAAAAUCUUUCUGAAAUAAAUUUGGAUGGCACUGAGGGUUCUAUUUAAUAAGAUAACAGCUAAACUGAUAGCUGAUAUUUUUACACAUGUAUUACAAUUUGGAACUAUGGGAAAAUUUACAUCAUAUUUGCACACUUUUUUUCAGUUUAGUCCAUUGUAAUCAUCCAGUAAUGGAUCAGAUACCUUUGAUUUUGGAAGAUAAAUAUUUUGAUAUAAACAAAGAUUUUGUGCAAUUUCAGAGAUGUUUAUUUUGGAAUUUGAGGACAAAGACGGAUCAGUAUUCAAGACGUCAGUGUGUAAGGUAUACCCGGUAGUUCAAGUCCGAAACAAGAUGGAGUGAGAUUUUGUUAACCAUAAAGGAUGAUAACUUUGCAAUGUAACUUUCUAUGAAUCUGAUAUACAUGUAUUGCUAUAAUUCAUUGUAUAAGUGAUAAAAUUGUGUUCUCUCUGACAGAAUGAUAGUGCUAGUGCCAUAGCUCAGAGAGUUGGAGAAGAAAGGAACCUUCCAUGUGACUACAUAGCUGCACUGGAAGAACGUCUCGAAUAUGAGAUUGCACUUCGUGAAAGUUUUGAGUCAGACCCCAACAGCUGAUUUUCUGUUCUUCAAUCAAUCAAAGCUUGCCCCAAACAAGAUGCAGCCCAAGCCUGUUGAAGCUAUAUAUGUGGUGUUGAUGAUACUCCAUUGUUAUCUACAUGGAUCACAUGAACUGCUGGCAUUCCUCUAUGUGUGUAAAGCAAAGAGUGUAGUGUUUUGAGUAUGACCAAGUAAAAAUCCUCAUUACUUUCUCAGGAAAAAGCAUUACACCAGAGACUAGAUUCCCAGACACUCCUUUCACUUUUAGAUAAGUGUAGUAGUAAACUGCUGCAUUUUCAAUCUAAAACAUACAUGUAUAUUGUAUUCUCAUACUAAGUGAUGUACAAUAGAAUAUAAAUAGAAGUUUU
rnacentral:misc_RNA from 1 species